rnacentral:lncRNA from 10 species
AAAUAAACUAUUUUUUCAGAGAUGAGGAUGGAUCUCACUAUGUUGCCAAGGCUGGCUCGAGAACUCCUGGGCUCAACCAAUCCUCCUGCCUCAGCCUCCCAAAUAGCUGGGACUACAGGUGUGUGCCGCCACUCUCCCCUUUUUAUUGGAAGAGAGUUCAUAGAGGACUGAGCACCUAUUUAGUAUAUGUUUCUAGGUUUGGUUACAAUUUGUUAAGAAAAGUAGAUUUGCAAACUCACUACUUUUGAAAUAUUAAAAAUACAUGCCAUGAAUUUCUACUUCAGCACAGAUUUGGACAACCACCUUAUGUAUGGAAAGAAAAUUUACUGAAUUUAGUGCUAGGCAUAGAUGAGAAUUUCUACUUGAAAAAAGCCCUUAAAACUUUUCCUGCUGUACUGUUCAAUUAUUAAUAUAUUUAAUGCACAGACGCAGUUCACAAUGUGGACUGAUGUGAACUUGUGUUGCAUUGGCUUUAUAAAUUAGGACAGUUGAUUUUACUUAUCCUCCUGAUUUGCCCAGAUAUGAUCUCUAUAAAAAAUCACAGAAAUUUUUGUAAAAUAAUCUUGCAGUUCUUGUUUUUGCUCUUUUUCUUAUUUUUUUCUCAACAAAAAAUUAUUUCUGAUGUUCUAUUUUCACUUAAAUGAAAACAUUCCAUGGAAGAAGUACAAAGAAGUAAUGCUUUGAAAUGACAGUCCCUGAAUUUUCAAGAAAGCCAGAUUCUUCCACAUCCAUAGUCUUCCUUUGUCCUGUUAAUAAUCCUCAUGAUGAGAGGAAAGUUACUGCCUAGUGUUUUAUGACUGGGAGAAUGGAGUAACAAGAAUCUAAGUGGUCAGAAGUAGAGAUUGUCAAGAAUACAGGCUCUCAGGUUUUGGUGUCUGUGCUCCAUCAGCCAAACUUUGCCCUUUUCUAGAAAAGACCCAAGUGGUGAAGUCACUAAUUUUGUCAUUGUUAUUAUGUACUGGAGAAAAAUUAAAUGAUCCACCUCUUUAUCAUAUACUGAACUUUCAUGAUAAGUAACACAUGUGGAGUAACCAAGGCUUAGCCAACUAGGGAUUAAUGUUAGAAAAUGAAUUUUGCUUUCUCUAUACUUGUUUAGAAAUAGCAAAAGUUCUGUAAGGGGAUGGCUAGGGGCCAAUGGGAGAGGUGAAGGACCUUUAUCACAGUAUUUGUUUGGUCCCCAUCAAAGUUCCUGGGUGCCAUGGAAAAGUGUUUUUCUUUUCUGGACCCUUUACUUCAUCUGCAAAAUGGUGAGGCAGUUAAACUCUCUGGCUUGCUUUUAUCUUACAGGCAUUCAGUGAGGUAUAUAACCUGCAAUAUUUCUUAAAAGUUGUAUAGGUUUUGCUGACCUGAAUUCUUUCAUGUUCUUCUUCAUCCUACAUGUGUAACUAUUCCAUGUUAUCGGUCCCCACGAUGAAAGAUAAUGAAAUACCUUCAGGAAAGGCAG